rnacentral:rRNA from 1 species
AUGCCGGUUGCUAGGGUGACUUGGAGAACGGUUGCGUGCAUGUUUGGCACUGAAUUAUGUCCUGAUAAUAUUUGGCAAGCUUAUGUGUGGUGUUUCACUUUCUUCCCUGGAGGAGAAACGUUUUACACAAUUGGGAUUGCGGCUGUGUCAUGGGCAAUAUGGACAUGUCACAAUAGAGCUACGUUUGAAUUUAAACAGCUCAAAACCCCUUUUGAAUGUAUUUUUUCUUCUUGUGCUAUACUAUGCUAUUGGGAAGGUUUGUUGAAGUAGGAAGACGCUGCAAGUCUGAGUGACGAGGCUGAGAUGCUGAACGAGAACGCGUCGAUGAUGAUGAGAAUCUGUGCUGUGAAUUAG